GAGCUAGCCCGUCAAAUAAAAUACUGGCAUUGAAGGUUGGCCAUAUUUUUGAUAAGCGAUUCUCCGUGCCUUUCAAAUACUAUAAUUUUGACUAGGGGUGUACAGAGCAAACUGAUAAACC